CCUUUUUCACAAUGCGAAAAGUCGGGAUUUUACAAUCCGGCAACGCCGUAAUCGGCCAUCUUUGUUCUAAUUAUUUUUUCCCCAUGUAAAUUCCCAUAAGAAAUGGGGGUCCCUGCAAUUUAAAUUCAUUUUCUAUUUAUUGGUGUCUUAAAUCCAAUAUAUUUAUCGUGGAUCGUGUUCCCCGAUGAAUUGGUAACAUUUUCAUAUUUUCUGGCAGGGCAUCAACAACAGAGGAAACUGGGGUUACUGUUUCGAACUUUUUAAUUGAUUUGCGCAUUGUUGUUUUGUCCUUAUUGUUAACUUUAAUCGAAAAGAGGGACUGAAAAAUUCCCUCAGAAGUAUUUAGGGUCAACUAGUUUUAAAUGUACUAAUUCAACUACUUUAACAUUUAGUUCCAUAAUCUCAAUCUGACGAAGCGUUCACCAUGAUUACCUGAUUCAUUAUCGUUAUUUCGUUACCAUUUUAAGAAAACUCACGGUUCUUUUUUCGAGUGAAACAUUGUAUUAAACAAGAAGAAAAAAAUGUUUAAUAAAGAUGCUGAAAACGUGA